CCAUAGGCAUACAAAAAAACCCAAGUGAUUUCAGAAUUUAUAAUUAGGGUUUACAACUUACCUCUUAAAAGUUUGUCUAGCAGAAGGGAAGAGUUGAAGAAAUUAGGGCUGAACAGUACUGAUACAACAACACAGGGCUGCUUCCUUCUGUAUCAGCGGCUGAUUUCCCCUUUAUUCGUUUCUGUUAACACACAACAAAACACGGGAAUCGUCACCUUGAACGGAGUCGACCGACGCGGUUGGUGCCAGCUUCUACUGCUAAAGAGAAUAUAGCUCAUCGAUGGUAUGUGCCUUCAGCAUCAUAUGCAUUUGUAUCUUCGGCAGUCCAUUCCCACCACCGCUACCUUUUCUCUGGUGGCCAGGCUCGCAUUUUCCCGUUCAAUGCCAUCUCGAUCGACCGAUCGAUCUCUAAAGAAAGAUGAAAAGGACUUUGUAAGAAUAUUGGAUUUUAAGAGGGUAGAAGAAGGUUGGCGGUGGAUAUUAGCGAAAGUAGGCGAUUGUGGAGACGGAGAAAAUCAUGGUCGCCGUUCGGAUUUAGACUGAGAGAAUAGCAGACGAACAUAACUGGGCGGUGGAGUGGUCAAAUACUUUGUGCAGUAAGCAAAGACAUGCAAAACANGCUUCUACUGCUAAAGAGAAUAUAGCUCAUCGAUGGUAUGUGCCUUCAGCAUCAUAUGCAUUUGUAUCUUCGGCAGUCCAUUCCCACCACCGCUACCUUUUCUCUGGUGGCCAGGCUCGCAUUUUCCCGUUCAAUGCCAUCUCGAUCGACCGAUCGAUCUCUAAAGAAAGAUGAAAAGGACUUUGUAAGAAUAUUGGAUUUUAAGAGGGUAGAAGAAGGUUGGCGGUGGAUAUUAGCGAAAGUAGGCGAUUGUGGAGACGGAGAAAAUCAUGGUCGCCGUUCGGAUUUAGACUGAGAGAAUAGCAGACGAACAUAACUGGGCGGUGGAGUGGUCAAAUACUUUGUGCAGUAAGCAAAGACAUGCAAAACAAAAAAAAAAAAACAAAAGAGGGAAGACGCCAC
rnacentral:lncRNA from 1 species